GUGGUCGUGACGAAUGGGUUAACGUACCGAAUUGUGGCUAUGGCAUUCGUGGGUUCAAGUCCCAUCGAUCGCCC
rnacentral:tRNA from 1 species